UGGGCUUGGCCCAGGCUCUAGGCUAGGUCCAGGUCCACUCCAGGAGUCUCUCAUCCUCCUUGAGCCCGGGGGCUGGCAGAAGCCCAAGACGGCAGGCCCCACCAAGGAAGCGGAUGGCAAACCUUGGCCUCUGUCCUAUCUGCUAACAUCUCCUUCGCCAAAACAAGUCCCCUGGGCAAGCCCAAAGUAAGAGUCAGGGAAGUUCAUGUACAGAUGUAAUACCAUCCGGGGAGUGAAGACUUAUGAAAAUAAAUGGAGACCAAGAUGUGAAAACAAAUUCUGAAAGAAAAAAAAAAAGACUAGUUUGGGACUUUGUCUUAAAGAAAUGAAAAAUUAGGAAAAUAGAUUCAUCUAAUAGUCAACAAAAAUUGUUAGAUUGGAGUUGUUUUAAUUCUUACAAGAAACCAAAAUGGAAUCAAAUGUUGAUUUUGGGAAAGAUGCGAUUUUUCUGGCCAAGUUGGCCACAUCCUUCACUUUGCGUUUGAUUUCAGAGCCUGGGCCCCUGGGGGUGGUUUCCCCAGGGCCUGUCUUUCCUCUCUGGUGUGUUGUAUUGUUCCUGUUUGAAGCUUCCUGUCUCAGCAUUUUCCCUCUCAUGUUUCUCUUCGCGGAUGGUUGUUCACUCGCCUUCCCUUUCAGACCCCAGUUGUCCAGGACUGAGCUGGGAUCCAUGAGGCUCUCUGAUGCCACUGUCCUCAACUUCUUGACCUCCUGCAUCUUUUGCAAGACUUGUCAUCUUAUUUCACUCUUGAUUUGCACGACCUCCUCAGAAUGCUUGUCAGCCAACUCAAAAGAUUAGCAAGAUUAUCAGUGGCCUUUCUGGGGACCAGGGGAUGGGUCUAGGCAGGUAGGGCACUUGCAUCAGGGUGAAUUUGAUACCUGAUCUGUUUCCCUGUGCCUCGAUGUAGACCUACAGGGCAGACUGUCUGUGGUUGCUGUGUCUGGGGCUUAGGGCAUGGAUGAGAGGGCGCGGGCUGAGGCUGGGAAUGGAGAGAGGUGAGCCCUGCUGGCUUUAUGUGCCUGCUUUUCCCCGAGGGAAACAGGAGCCCUGAAGAGUAUAAACAGGGUGAGACCAGGUCGGAUUGGACUAUAGAAACCUCCUCCUCUGAGACAACCAAUUGGCUUGGAGGGUGCAGGGAGGGAUGUGGAGCCCCAGCCAGACUGAGGCAGGAGCUGCCCUCCCCCAUGGUGGCUGGUGGCCCAGGUGACCUCAUGCAGCCUCAGGUCCCUCUUUUGUAUGGCUGGAUCUGAAGGACAGAUAGAUGCCCACCGUGCACUGAGAAGGGGCUCUUGUAGAAUCAGGGACCGUCAGAGUAAGAGAUACAGAGAAGUUGGAGUGGGGGUGGAUUAUUUUGGAUAGGAUGGCCAGAGAAGCCUCUCUGAGGAGCACUUCUUAAAUAGGAGACCAGAAGGUUGAGAAGGGACCAGUCAGGCAAUGGAUAUGUGGAAGGAGUUCCCGGCAGAGAGAAUAGAAUGGGCAAAGGUCCUGAGGCAAGAAGGGGCUCUGCUGGCUCAAGAGACAGACUGCAGAUCUGUACACCUCAUGCAAGAAAGGGAUGGGCUAGGGUAAAGCUGGAGAAACAGACAGGGGCUAGAGUAGCAGGCACAAGAAUUUGGCCCUAAGUUUAAAGAGAAGUCAUUGAAGGCUUUGAAUUAGGGGAGUGAUGUGAUUUGUGUCUUUGCAGGAUUCCACUCACUAGAGGGAGGCAGAAGGGAACAGGGAGACUGGAGCCUGUGGCUAAAAUCCCAGUGGCACCGGACAGUUACUUAGCCCAUGGUAGUGUCAGUAGAAAUGGAAAAAAGUGAGCAAGGGCGCCUGGUUGGCUCAGUUAAAAGUCUGCCUUCACCUCAGGUCAUGAUCCCUGGGUCCUGGGAUCAUGCUCCAUGCUCAGCGGGGAGCCUGCUUUUCCCUCUGCCUCUGUUCUCCUCCUGCUUGUCUUCUAUCUCUCUUUCUCUCAAAUAAGGAAAUAAAAUCUUUUUUAAAAAAAGAAAAAAGUGGGGAUGCCUGGGUGGCUCAGUGAUUGAGCAUCUGCCUUUGGCUUAGGUUGUGAUCCUGGGGUCCUGGGAUCAAGUCCCACAUGGGGCUCCCCACAGGGAGCCUGCUUCUCCCUCUGCCUAUGUCUCUGCUUCUCUCUGUGUGUCUCUCAUGAAUAAAUAAAUAAAUAAAUAAAAUCUUUAAAAAUUAAAAAAAAGUGAACAGAUGUGAGAUACAGUUUAGAGGGUCACCCAACUGGACCUUCUUUUUUUUGUUUUGUUUUGUUUUGUUUUUUUUUGUUUUGUUUUUGUUUUUUUCCAACUGGACCUUCUGAUGUGUGCCCCCAAAUCUGUUCACGUCUCAGUUCCGCUCCUCCUCUCACCUCUGAAGCAACAGAGUGUGCCGGAAACAGCAUGGGUUUCAGAGUGAGAUAGGCCUAGGUUAUACUUACUCCAGAAUAGAGCCAGUCCUUCUACCUUUUUGAGACUUGGUUCUCUUACCUGUAAAAUGGCAACAACAUCCUCAACACAGAAUUACCAGAUGAUCCAGCAAUUACACUCCUAGGUAUAUACCCAAAAGUAUUGAAAGCAGAGGUUCAAACAAACACCUGUAUAGUCAUGUUCAUGGCUGUAUUAUUCACAAUAGCCGAAAGGUGGAAACAACCCAAGUGUCCAUUGACAGAUGAGUGGGAAAACAAAAUGUCAUGUAGACACUCAGUGGGAUCCUAUUCAGUCACAGAAAGGCAUAACAUUCUGACACCUGCUACAACAUGGAUGAACUUUGCAAACCUUAUGCUAAGUGAAAUAAACCAGACACAAAAAGACAAAUGCUGUCUGAUUUCACUUAUUUAAGGUGUGUAGAGGGGGCAAAUUCAUAGAGAAAAGUAGAAUAGAGGCUACCAGGGGCCAGGGUAAGUGUGAAUAGAGAGUCAUUGCUCAGUGGGUACAGAGUUCCUGUUUUUGAUGAUGAAAGGCUCUUAAAAUGCAUUGUGGUGAUGGUUGUAUGACAUUGCAGGUAUGCUUAGCACCAUUGAAUCAUACACCUAAAAAUGGUAUACAUAUUCUUAUGUAUAUUUUAUCACACACACACACACACACAAACUAAACAAACCAUGGAGUGCCUAGCUAGCUCAGUCAAAAGAGCAUGCAACUCUCGAUCUCGAGAUCUUGAGGGUCUUGAGUUUGAGCCUCACGUUGGGUGUGGAGAUUACUAAAACUAAUUAAUUAAUUAAUUAAUUAAGAAAAAGAAACAGCAACACCUACCUGGAGGGAGUUUGUGAAAAGUCAGAGAGGCCCCCAGCCCAUCACCUGCUACAGCCCAGUGAGGGUGGGAUGAAUCAGGAGAGGCCUCCCCGUCCAGCCCAUGGAGACCGUGGGCGCCCAGUGCAGGUGAGGAUGCCCUGUUGGGAGCUUUCAUCAGAGCAGAGAGGAAACAAUGGAGGCAGAACUCAUGAUAAAGAUCACAUUAGUUAUCAAAACAGAUGACGGGGUAAUCAAAAUGGGAAUGGUGGCAAGAGCACACCAGUAGGGUAGAGAGUGAGAGAGGAUUAUCUUUGGUAUCUGUCUUCUGGAAGAAACUUAAUGGGGCUCAGGUCUGGAUCUAAAAGGCAGAGUAGGGUUAGGCUUUGACCAGCUUGCCUGUAGCAGAGGGAAGGUGCUCCCCAGCAUCAGGUCAAGGGAUGCCUCUACGGGCUGCAAAGGUGAGUUGAAAACACUGAGAUGCCAUUUGCUGCCUGGGAGGUGGAUGAGAGGAAACUGGAUACACAUGCAGUAACACCUGGUGGAGGCCAGGAGUCUCCCCCAUUCCUGGGGAAGCAUCAUUGAACUGGUGCCACACUCUCCAGGGCAACUUGGCAUCACACAGGCCCAAGUCUUAAAACUGUGUCUAGCGGUUCUCCCUCAAUAUAUCUAUAAAGAUGUUCAUCACAGGGUUAGUUAUGAGAGAAACAAAAGGACCCUACAUAUCUUUAAAUUAGGAGGCUAGUUAAAUUAUGCUGUAUCUGAACACCAAAAUUAUUUACUGCAGCCAAUAAAAGCAGUAUCUUUCUGUUGUGCAAAAAUAUUGAAUAUUAUGGAAAGAUGGUGAUAUGAACACAUAUUACACACCAGAUACUGUUCUAUGUGCCUUACUUUUUAAAAGAUUUUAUUUAUUUAUUUAUUCAUUCAUGAAAGACACAGAGACACAGGCAGAGGGAGAAGCAGGAUCCUUGGGGGGAGCCUGAUGCAGGACUCGAUCCCAGGACCCCAGGAUCACGACCUGAGCCCAAGGCAGAUGCUCAACCACUGAGCCACCCAGGUGCCCCUCUAUAUGCUUUAUGUAAACAACCAAUUUGAUGCUCCCCACAGCUGAAGACAUAGGCACUAUUAUUAUCCUGUUGCACUCUUGAGGAAAAUAAGGCACAGAGAAGUUAAGUAAGCUGCCCAAGGUGAUAUGGCUGUAAGUGGCAGAAACUGGGAUUUGAAAUCAGGAAUGCUGGAUCCAGACUCGCAAAAACAUUCCUGGUGUACUGUUAGGGGAAGGGACAUGCCUGUUUUGCUUUGUUUUUUUCUUAAAAAACAAAACAAAACAAAACAAAAAACCCUAAAGUUAAGACAGAAACAUGCGUAGGACAAUCAUUGGAAGGGAAAAAUGAUGUGGUUUUUUUUUUUAAGAUCUUAUUUAUUUAUUCAUAGAGACACAGAGAGAGGCAGAGACAUAGGCAGAGGGAGAAGCAGGCUCCAUGCAGGGAGUCCGAUGUGGGACUCAAUCCUGGGUCUCCAGGAUCACACCCCAGGCUGCAGGCGGCGCCAAACCGCUGAGCCACCAGGGCUUCCCCGGGGAAAAAUGAUGUUGCCUGGUUCUCUCUGGGUGGCAUCAUGGGUCAUUUUUAUCUCUCUAGCAUCUUCUAAAUUUACUGCGAUAAAAAUGUUUUAAUUUUAUAGUGAACAUUUUUAAAAACAGCGAUUUUGCUUUUUAGAGCAGUUUUAGUUUCACAGCAAAAUUGAGUAGAAGGUACAGAAAGUUCCCAAAUAUCCCCUGUCCCUACACACAUGUAUAGCCUCUCCUACUAUCAAGAUAUGGCACCAGAGUGGGACAUUUGUUACAACUGAUGAACUGACACUGACAUAUCACGAUCACUCAAAGACCAUAGUUUAUAUUAGGGUUCAAUCUUGAUGUACAUUCUAUGGGAUUGGACAAAUGUAUGAUGACAUGUCUCCAGCAUUAUAGUAUCAUACAGAAGAGUUUCACUGCCCUAAAAAUCCUCUGUGCUCCACCAAAUCAUCCCUCCCUUUCCUAAACCCCUGGCAACCACUGAUCUUUAAUGUCUCCCUAGUUUUACCUUUUCCAGAAUGUCAUAGAGUUGGAAUCAUAUAGUGUGUAGCCUUUUCUGAUUGACUUCUUUUGCUUAGUAAUAUGCAUUUAAGGUCCUCCAUGUCUUUUUAUGGAAAGGCAUAACAUUUGGCUUGUUGGCUUAUUUCUUUUUAGGGAUGAAUCAUAUUCCAUUGUCUGGGGAGAUUACAGUUUAUUUAUCCAUUCACCUACUGAAGGACAUCUUGGUUGCUUUCAAGUUUUAGCAAUUAGGAAUAAAGCUGCUGGGAUGCCUGGGUGGCUCAGCGGUUGGGCACCCGCUCGAGGCUCAGGUCGUGAUCCCGGAUCCUGAUUGAGUCCCGCAUCGGGUUCCCUGUGAGGAGCCUGCUUCUCCCUCUGUCUGUGUCUCUGCCUGUCUCUCUGUC
rnacentral:lncRNA from 1 species